GUGAAUCAUCGAAUCUUUGAGCGCAAAUUGCACUCUCCUCGGAGAGUAUGCCUGUUUGAGGGUCAGCCUAUAAAAAUCGACAUCGUUGCUGUUUCGCGGUGGCGUUCGUCGGAAAUUGGGUCAUCUUAAAUCCUUUUGAUUUAAGCUACUUAAAAUUUUCUUUUUGAUUCCAUGAACGUGUUUCUAAGCUUUAUUUCUUUACACGUUUAAGGUAUCGAUUUUUAUUAGACGUGACCAUCAUAUCGGAUCUUGUCCAUAAUCUUUCAUUAAUUGACUCUCUACAGUUAACAG
rnacentral:misc_RNA from 1 species